rnacentral:rRNA from 1 species
UACGAAGGGGGCGAGCGUUGUUCGGAUUUACUGGGCGUAAAGGGCGCGUAGGCGGCCUUGUCAGUCAGGCGUGAAAGCCCCGGGCUCAACCUGGGAACGGCGCUUGGGACGGCGAGGCUGGAGUUCGGGAGAGGAGAGUGGAAUUCCCAGUGUAGAGGUGAAAUUCGUAGAUAUUGGGAAGAACACCGGUGGCGAAGGCAGCUCUCUGGACCGACACUGACGCUGAGGCGCGAAAGCGUGGGGAGCAAACAGG